rnacentral:rRNA from 1 species
ACGCUGGCGGCACGCCUAACACAUGCAAGUCGAGCGAGAAACUAAACUUCGGUUUAGCGGAAAGCGGCGGACGGGUGAGUAACGCGUGGGAAUUUACCAAAGAGUGGGGAACAACUGCUGGAAACGGCAGCUAAUACCGCAUACGCCCUAUGGGGGAAAGGCUUCGGCCGCUCUUUGAGAAGCCCGCGUACGAUUAGUUUGUUGGUGGGGUAAUGGCCUACCAAGACUACGAUCGUUAGCUGGUCUGAGAGGACGAUCAGCCACACUGGGACUGAGACACGGCCCAGACUCCUACGGGAGGCAGCAGUGGGGAAUAUUGGACAAUGGGCGAAAGCCUGAUCCAGCGAUGCCGCGUGAGUGAAGAAGGCCUUAGGGUUGUAAAGCUCUUUCGGUGGGGAAGAUAAUGACGGUACCCACAAAAGAAGCCCCGGCUAACUCCGUGCCAGCAGCCGCGGUAAUACGGAGGGGGCUAGCGUUACUCGGAAUUACUGGGCGUAAAGCGAGCGUAGGCGGUUAACCAAGUUGGGGGUGAAAGCCCGGGGCUCAACCCCGGAAAUGCCCUCAAAACUAGUUAGCUAGAGGACGGGAGAGGGGAGUGGAACUCCCAGUGUAGAGGUGAAAUUCGUAGAUAUUGGGAAGAACACCAGUGGCGAAGGCGACUCUCUGGACCGUUUCUGACGCUAAGGCUCGAAAGCGUGGGUAGCAAACAGGAUUAGAUACCCUGGUAGUCCACGCCGUAAACGAUGAGUGCUAGACGUUGGGGGGAACGCCCUUCAGUGUCGUCGCUAACGCAUUAAGCACUCCGCCUGGGGAGUACG